rnacentral:rRNA from 1 species
GCUUAUUUUGCGCAGCUUAGGUGGGAGGCUAUGAACCUUUUCUUCUGGGAAGAGGGGAGCCAUCAGUGAGAUACCACUCUUGGUAAGCUAGAGCGCUCAGUCUUCACCGUCAUCCGGUAAGACGACAGUUUCAGGCGGGCAGUUUGACUGGGGCAGUCACCUCCCAAAAGGUAAUGGAGGUGUGCAAAGGUUCCCUCAGGCUGGACGGAAAUCAACCAUAGAGUGUUAAAGCAUAAGGGAGCUUGACUGCGAGACUGACAUGUCAAGCAGAGACGAAAGUCGGCUUUAGUGAUCCGACGGUGCUGUGUGGAAAGGCCGUCGCUCAACGGAUAAAAGUUACUCUAGGGAUAACA